GACGAACGCUGGCGGCGUGCUUAACACAUGCAAGUCGAACGGAAAGGCCCUGCUUUUGUGGGAUGCUCGAGUGGCGAACGGGUGAGUAACACGUGAGUAACCUUCCCUUGACUUUGGGAAAACUUCAGGAAACGGGGGCUAAUACCGUAUAGGUGCUCCGGCUGCAUGGUGGGGGUUGGAAAGUUUCGGCGGUUGGGGAUGGACUGGCGGCUUAUCAGCUUGUUGGUGGGGUAGUGGCUUACCAAGGCUUUGACGGGUAGCCGGCCUGAGAGGGUGACCGGCCACAUUGGGACUGAGAUCCGGCCAAGCCUCCUCCGGGAGGCAGCAGUGGGGAUUAUUGCACAAUGGGCGGAAGCCUGAUGCAGCAACGCCGCGUGCGGGAUGACGGCCUUCGGGUUGUAACCCGCUUUCGCCUGUGACGAAGCGUGAGUGACGGUAAUGGGUAAAGAAGCACCGGCUAACUACGUG
rnacentral:rRNA from 1 species